rnacentral:sRNA from 1 species
GAGUCUUCGGCGGGCUCGCGAGCCCGGCCGCGGCCUACUGGUUUCAGACGGAGUCUUACUCUCUCUCCCGGUCUGGAGUGCAGUGGCGUGAUCUCGGCUCAAUGUAACCUCCACCCUCCGGGUUCAAGGGGUUCUCCUGCCUCAGCCUCCCAAGUAGCUAGGACCACAGGUGCAUACCAUCGCGCCUGGCUAAUUUUUUUGUAUUUUUUGUAGAGACGGGGUUUUGCUGUGUUGCCCAGGCUGGUCUCCAACUCCUGGUCUCAAGCUACCUGCCUCAGUUUCCCAAAGUGCUGGGAUUAUAGGCGUGGGCCACAGCUCCUGGGAGUAGACAGUGCGGCCCCCUAGAUUCUGCUCUUUUUAGUCCAUUUCUACCCUUUGUCUUCCUGAAGGCUGAGUUGCGUAAUGUCUCUUGAGUACAUC